AGAUUUCCGAAUUCGUGCUGAGAUUUAAUCAGACACCAACCUAUUAGGGCUGAUCAUACUUCCAAGAUACGUGAAGGU
rnacentral:pre_miRNA from 1 species